AUUUGAUCAUUUGUGUGCAGGAGAGCACUUCCUAGGGAGAUUGCUCAUUUAUGUCUCCUCUAGGGGUUUAAUAUUCACUGGGCUGAUCAGACUUUAUCAGCAGACCAGGUUUACCUUACGAAUGCUCCCUGGCUGAGCAGCACAGUAUAAAAUAGAAUAGUAGGAGAAUGGGCUCCAGCACCACAAAUCCUGGAUUGUUUUGACUGGAGUCAGAGUGGGUUCUCUUGUCUUUUCCUCUCAAAGAUAUCCAUAAAAGGACAACGGUUGGACCCUAUGGAAUCAGUUCGUGAGGAGACAGUCAACUUGACCACAGACAGCAGGACCCCAGAAGUGUGCCUAGCCCUGUACCCAGGCACCAACUACACUGUGAACAUCUCCACAGCACCUCCCAGGCGCUCGAUGCCAGCCGUCAUCGGUUUCCAGACAGCUGAAGUUGAUCUCUUAGAAGAUGAUGGAAGUUUCAAUAUUUCAAUAUUUAAUGAAACUUGUUUGAAAUUGAACAGGCGUUCUAGGAAAGUUGGAUCAGAACACAUGUACCAA
rnacentral:sRNA from 1 species